CCUACGGGGGGCAGCAGUGGGGAAUAUUGCGCAAUGGGCGAAAGCCUGACGCAGCGACGCCGCGUGAGGGAUGAAGGUUUUCGGAUCGUAAACCUCUGUCAGCAGGGAAGAACGGUCACUGUGCUAAUCAGCAGUGAAUUGACUGUAUCUGUAAAGGCAGCACCGGCUAACUCCGUGCCAGCAGCCUCGUUAAUCCGUAGGGUGCGAGCGUUGAUCGUAAGUACUGGGCGUAAAGCGCUCGUAGGCGGUAUGUCAAGUCAAGGGUGAAAUCCCCGCGCUCAACGUGGGAACUGCCUUUGAAACUGGCAAACUGGAGUGUGUGAGAGGAUAGUGGAAUUCCAGGUGUAGGGGUGAAAUCCGUAGAUAUCUGGAGGAACAUCAGUGGCGAAGGCGACUAUCUGGAACAUAACUGACGCUGAGGAGCGAAAGCGUGGGUAGCAAACAGGAUUAGAUACCCGUGUAGUC
rnacentral:rRNA from 1 species